rnacentral:tRNA from 1 species
GGGCUGGUAGCUCAGUGGUAGAGCAGCGGCCUUUUAAGCCGAGUGUCGUGGGUUCGAUCCCCACCCGGCCCA